AACGAACGUUAGCGGCGCGCUUAACACAUGCAAGUCGAACGCGUGAGAGCUUGCUCUCACGAGUGGCGCACGGGUGAGGAACACGUAGGUAAUCUACCCUCGAGUGGUGGAUAACUCUCCGAAAGGAGAGCUAAUACAGCAUGAGACCACGUUUCCUCGGAGAUGUGGCCAAAGCGGGGGAUCUUCGGACCUCGCGCUUGAGGAUGAGCCUGCGGCCCAUCAGCUAGUUGGCGGUGUAAUGGACCACCAAGGCUAAGACGGGUAGCUGGUCUGAGAGGAUGAACAGCCACACUGGAACUGAGACACGGUCCAGACUCCUACGGGAGGCAGCAGUGGGGAAUCUUGCGCAAUGGGCGAAAGCCUGACGCAGCGACGCCGCGUGAGCGAUGAAGGCCCUCGGGUUGUAAAGCUCUGUGGAUGGGAAAGAAGAAGUGCAAGCUAACACCUUGCAUGGUGACGGUACCCAUUUAGCAAGCACCGGCUAACUCUGUGCCAGCAGCCGCCGUAA
rnacentral:rRNA from 1 species